CGUUGUUCUGUUUUGUGUUGUACACCCUUGACCUUGCUCCAUCUGUAUGCUUUUUACGUGAAAGUGUCGUGGUUGACUUUGAAGGGCUUGAACUAAACCUCGUGUAAAUAUCAGAACAGCCUUGUUAUGUUGUGAAACUAGUACUGAACCUUCACUGCAUAACCUUACUACGUAGUUCUGUUGUGUUGUGCACUCGUGACCUUGCUCUAUCUGUAUGCUUUUUACGUGAAAGUGUAGUGGUUGACUUUGAAGGGCUUGAAUUAAACCUCGUGUACAUAUCAGAACAGCCUUGUUAUGUUGUGAAACUAGUACUGAACCUUCACUUCUCGGAGUCUGAAGGUUGACUAUCAUGUGUGUUGGAAAAGAGAACCUCAAAUAAUCAAUGUGAAUUUUAUAAUCAUCAGGCCUAUGCGCAACCUAGUGUGAACGCAAGGGUGACUGCCUAUUAUUCUAUUAGUUUAUCUUUGUUAUUGCUGGGUAGCUGAAGAUAAUACACAAAGUUCGUAUCGUGGGAGAGAAGAGGCGGAAAACAAAUAAAAAAAAAAAGAGAAAAUAAAGAGGAAAAACUUAUCUAAGAAGCUAAAAGUCUGUGUUUCACAUGCUUGCUUA
rnacentral:lncRNA from 1 species